AGUGAACGCUGGCGGUAGGCCUAACACAUGCAAGUCGAACGGCAGCACAGUAAGAGCUUGCUCUUACGGGUGGCGAGUGGCGGACGGGUGAGGAAUACAUCGGAAUCUACUUUUUCGUGGGGGAUAACGUAGGGAAACUUACGCUAAUACCGCAUACGUCCUACGGGUGAAAGCAGGGGAUCUUCGGACCUUGCGCGUUUGAAUGAGCCGAUGUCGGAUUAGCUAGUUGGCUGGGUAAAGGCCCACCAAGGCGACGAUGCGUAGCUGGUCUGAGAGGAUGAUCAGACAAACUGGAAGUGAGACACGGUCCAGACUACUACGGGAGGAAGCAGUGGGGAAUAUUGGACAAUGGGCGAAAGCAUGAUCCAGCAAUACCGCGUGGGUGAAGAAGGACUUCGGGUUGUAAAGCCAUUUUGUUGGGAAAGAAAAGCAGCAGGUUAAUACCACGAUGUUAUGACGGUACCAAAAGAAUAAGCACCGGCUAACUUCGUG
rnacentral:rRNA from 1 species